AAAGAAAUAAAUAUGAAAACCUCCCAAGGAUUUUCAUAAUAUAAACUUUAGCAUUUGCUAUUUCAAAAUGACCAGUUUUGGUCCUUGUAGUUUGUUAAUGACUACACUUUAGUCCUUCAUGAUAAAAUUAAGAAUUUUUUCAUUACAUUUUAGUCUCUUAUAUUUUAAUUUAGAUCACACUUUAAUCCCUCAAAAUCUUGUAAUCUUCACUAAUAGUAAUAUCAGGACUAAAAUUGCUAAUUUUGAA
rnacentral:misc_RNA from 1 species